rnacentral:rRNA from 1 species
ACCCCACUGCUAUCGGGAUGGGACUAAGACAUGCUAGUUGAGUGCCUCUAGCCAAUAAGAGGCACAGCGCACAGCUCAGUAACACGUGGCUAACCUGCCCUUAGGAUGGAGACAACCCCGGGAAACUGGGGCUAAUCCCCGAUAGGUGAAGAACUCUGGAAUGAGUCUUCGCCCAAAAGACAUUUGCGUUAUGCUCGCAGGUGUUGCCUAAGGAUGGGGCCGCGACCGAUCAGGCUGUUGGUGAGGUAAUGGCCCACCAAACCUAUAACCGGUGCGGGCCGUGAGAGCGGGAGCCCGGAGAUGGGCACUGAGACAAGGGCCCAGGUCCUACGGGGCGCAGCAGUCGCGAAAACUUUGCAAUACACGAAAGUGUGACAGGGUCAUCCCGAGUGCCGACCGCUGAGGUUGGCUUUUACCCAGUCUAGAAAGCUGGGGGAAUAAGGAGAGGGCAAGUCUGGUGUCAGCCGCCGCGGUAAUACCAGCUCUCCGAGUGGUGUGGACGUUUAUUGGGCCUAAAGCAUCCGUAGCUGGCCGAACAAGUCCCCUGUUAAACCCACCGAUUUAAUCGUUGGUCUGCGGGGGAUACUGCUCGGCUAGGGGACGAGAGAGGCAGGCGGUAUUCCCGGGGUAGGGGUGAAAUCCUAUAAUCCCGAGAAGACCACCAGUGGCGAAGGCUGCCUGCUAGAACGCGCCCGACGGUGAGGGAUGAAAGCUGGGGGAGCGAACCGGAUUAGAUACCCGGGUAGUCCCAGCUGUAAACGAUGCAGACUAGGUGUUUGGACGGCCACGUGCCGUUCUAGUGCCGCAGGGAAGCUGUUAAGUCUGCCGCCUGGGGAGUACGAUCGCAAGAUUGAAACUUAAAGGAAU